rnacentral:rRNA from 1 species
CUACGGGGCGCACCAGUGGGGAAUAUUGCACAAUGGGGGAAACCCUGAUGCAGCAACGCCGCGUGGAGGAUGACGCAUUUAGGUGUGUAAACUCCUUUUAUAAUGGAAGAUAAUGACGGUACAUUAUGAAUAAGCACCGGCUAACUCCGUGCCAGCAGCCGCGGUAAUACGGGGGGUGCAAGCGUUACUCGGAAUCACUGGGCGUAAAGAGAGUGUAGGCGUCUUGACAAGUCAGGUGUGAAAUCCAAUGGCUCAACCAUUGAACUGCACUUGAAACUGUCAAGAUAGAGUCCGGAAGGGGCAGGUGGAAUUAGUGGUGUAGGGGUAAAAUCCGUAGAGAUCACUAGGAAUAUCCAAAGCGAAGGCGACCUGCUGGGACGGUACUGACGCUGAGACUCGAAAGCGUGGGGAGCAAACAGGAUUAGAUACCCGAGUAGUC